GGGCGCGUGGCGAAAUUGGCAGACGCGAAGGAUUUAGGUUCCUUUGGAGCAAUCCAUGCAGGUUCGAUUCCUGUCGCGCCCA
rnacentral:tRNA from 1 species